UCCCUGGUAGCUCAGCUGGUAAAGUGUCUGCCUGCAAUGCAGAAGACCCGGGUUCGAUCCCUGGGUCGGGAC
rnacentral:tRNA from 1 species